rnacentral:rRNA from 1 species
UACGACUACAUAUCAGGCAUAUCAAUAAGCGGAGGAAAAGAAACUACAAGGAUUCCCCUAGUAACGGCGAGUGAAGCGGGAAGAGCUCAAAUUUGAAAUCUUAAAGGGUUUCCCUUUACGAAUUGUAGUUUAAAGAAGUGUUUUCUGUUGGAGUUUCGGUAAAAGUUCUUUGGUAAUAGGACAUCAUAGAGGGUGAGAAUCCCGUAUUUGACCGUUACUUUCCAGCUGUGUGAUACACUUUCAAAGAGUCGGAUUGUUUGGGAAUGCAGUCCAAGAUGGGUGGUAAAUUUCAUCUAAAGCUAAAUAUUGGCGAGAGACCGAUAGCGAACAAGUACCGUGAGGGAAAGAUGAAAAGAACUUUGAAAAGAGAGUUAAACAGUACGUGAAAUUGUCAAAAGGGAAGCGUUUGACACCAGUGUUGUUUAGUUGAAAAUCAAUUCAAUAGUUUUUGAUUCUAAGUAGUAUUGACUUCAUCAGCCUGCUGCUUUCUUCUCAGAAAUUAUUGAAUGCACUUUUCAGUUAACAAGUCAACAUCAAUUUCUUUUGUUGUAAAAGGGUAAGAGGAAGGUGGCUUGCGCUUCGGCUCAAGUGUUUAUAGCCUUUUAUCUCUGCAAUCGGAGAGAUUGAGGUCUGCAGCGUAGAUCCUUCGGGGUUAGAUACAUUGGUGCUAAGCUAUAGCCUUGUAUAGACAACUUGUUGACUAUGCUCAGUCAUGUAGCUUACUCGCUGAUGCUAUUUUACCUACGCUUAGGAUGUUGAGUAGCGACAUACGCAC